rnacentral:tRNA from 1 species
CAUUAUGAAGCUAUAUUGUAAGCGUCAACCUUUUAAGUUGAAGAUUAGGAACUCAAUCUCCUCAUAAUGA